rnacentral:rRNA from 1 species
AUUGAACGCUGGCGGCAUGCUUUACACAUGCAAGUCGAACGGCAGCGCGGGCUUCGGCCUGGCGGCGAGUGGCGAACGGGUGAGUAAUACAUCGGAACGUGCCCAGUAGUGGGGGAUAGCUCGGCGAAAGCCGGAUUAAUACCGCAUACGACCUGAGGGUGAAAGCGGGGGAUCUUCGGACCUCGCGCUAUUGGAGCGGCCGAUGGCAGAUUAGCUAGUUGGUGGGGUAAAGGCCUACCAAGGCGACGAUCUGUAGCUGGUCUGAGGGGACGACCAGCCACACUGGGACUGAGACACGGCCCAGACUCCUACGGGAGGCAGCAGUGGGGAAUUUUGGACAAUGGGCGAAAGCCUGAUCCAGCAAUGCCGCGUGUGUGAUGAAGGCCUUCGGGUUGUAAAGCACUUUUGGCGGGAACGAAAAGGACUGUGCCAAUACCGCGGUUCGAUGACGGUACCCGCAGAAUAAGCACCGGCUAACUACGUG